rnacentral:rRNA from 1 species
GACGAACGCUGGCGGCGUGCUUAACACAUGCAAGUCGAACGGAAAGGCCUCUUUCGGGGGGUACUCGAGUGGCGAACGGGUGAGUAACACGUGAGUAACCUGCCCUUGACUUUGGGAUAACUUCAGAAAACUGGGGCUAAUACCGGAUAGGAGCUCCUGCUGCAUGGUGGGGGUUGGAAAGAUUCGGCGGGUGGGGAUGGACUCGCGGCUUAUCAGCUUGUUGGUGGGGUAGUGGCUUACCAAGGCUUUGACGGGUAGCCGGCCUGAGAGGGUGACCGGCCACAUUGGGACUGGGAUACGGCCCAGACUCCUACGGGAGGCAGCAGUGGGGAAUAUUGCACAAUGGGUGGAAGCCUGAUGCAGCAACGCCGUGUGCGGGAUGACGGCCUUCGGGUUGUAAACCGCUUUCGCUCAUGACGAAGCUUUGUGUGACGGUAGUGGGUAAAGAAGCACCGGCUAACUACGUG